UCUGAUGCUGACGAUGGAGACAAGGAUUUGGAGAUAGCAACAAACAAAAAGGAGACUUCAUUUCAUUGAUCAUGUUCGGUGUGGAGAUUACUGAUGAAGAGUUUGAGCUGCUACUUGACAGAAUCCCCCUUGAUGAAGAUGGAAAUGUCACAUACCCCCGGUUCAUGGCCAGGUUUGAUUCCUGGUAUUAACGAGAGAAGAAAAUUUGCACAAAAAAGCAAAAGAUAGUUUAUGAGCCUGAAGGAAUAUAAUCAAUAAGGAUUAUGUGGAAACCUUUGUCCUUAAUCGUGGAUGGACUGUACGGAGGUUUAGUGAAGAAUGGUAAAAUAUAUCUUCCUUUGUUAUAAUGGCAUUUCAUACCAGCAGGAAUGGUAAGUGGAUUAAUAAAGACACAAGUAAUUAAGAAUCUGCUAUACA
rnacentral:lncRNA from 1 species